UACGAACUGUGCAAACGUUAUUCGGAAUCACUGGGCUUAAAGGGUGCGUAGGCGGUCAUUUAAGUAGGGUGUGAAAGCCCCCCGGCUCAACCGGGGAACUGCGUCCUAAACUGGGUGACUGGAGUGAGAUAGAGGUGUGUGGAACUUCCAGUGGAGCGGUGAAAUGUGUUGAUAUUGGAAGGAACGCCGGUGGCGAAAGCGACACACUGGGUCUCAACUGACGCUGAGGCACGAAAGCCAGGGGAGCGAACGGG
rnacentral:rRNA from 1 species